rnacentral:rRNA from 1 species
GUGAAAUACAAAUCGGACUAGGAUAUAGCUGGUUUUCUGCGAAAUCUAUUUUAGUAGAUGACUUAUUUUAUUAUUAGUGGGUAUAGCACUGAAUAUCUAAUAGUUAUUUAAAGGGAGUAUGAAAGUACUUACCUUGGAUAUUUAAUCUCAGAAUAAUUAAUAAGAAAAUAGAUAAGUUAUCAGACUUCUUGCGAUAAGGUGGGAAGUCGAGAGGGGAACAGCCCAGAAUAAUGUAUAAAGUUCCAUAAUUGUUAUUUAG